UACGUAGGUGGCAAGCGUUGUCCGGAAUUAUUGGGCGUAAAGCGCGCGCAGGUGGUUUCUUAAGUCUGACGUGAAAGCCCACGGCUCAACCGUGGAGGGUCAUUGGAAACUGGGGAACUUGAGUGCAGAAGAGGAAAGUGGAAUUCCAAGUGUAGCGGUGAAAUGCGUAGAGAUUUGGAGGAACACCAGUGGCGAAGGCGACUUUCUGGUCUGUAACUGACACUGAGGCGCGAAAGCGUGGGGAGCGAACAGG
rnacentral:rRNA from 1 species